CACGUAGGGGGCAAGCGUUGUCCGGAUUCAUUGGGCGUAAAGAGCUCGUAGGCGGUUCGAUAAGUCGGGUGUGAAACCUCCAGGCUCAACCUGGAGACGCCACCCGAUACUGUCGUGACUAGAGUCCAGUAGGGGAGCGUGGAAUUCCUGGUGUAGCGGUGGAAUGCGCAGAUAUCAGGAGGAACACCGAUGGCGAAGGCAGAUCUCUGGGCCGAUACUGACGCUGAGGAGCGAAAGCGUGGGGAGCGAACAGG
rnacentral:rRNA from 1 species